UACAGAGGCCCCAAGCGUUACUGAGAAUCACUGGGUUUAAAGCGUGUGUAGGCGGACGCCUAAGUGUCUUGUGAAAUCCCCCGGCUCACCCGGGGAACUGCUGGGCAUACUGGGCGUCUUGGGCCAACUAGGGGCAGCCGGAACAAGCGGUGGAGCGGUGAAAUGCGUAGAUAUCGCUUGGAACGCCGAAGGUGAAAACAGGCUGCUGGGGUUGCGCCGACGCUGAGACACGAAAGCCAGGGGAGCAAACGGG
rnacentral:rRNA from 1 species